ACCCUCGGGGGUAGAGCACUGAAUGAGCUAGGGCCCAUACCAGGGUACCAAACUCAACUAAACUCCGAAUACCGGGGGGUGGAACGCGGCAGUGAGACUGCGGGGGAUAAGCUUCGUAGUCGAAAGGGAAACAGCCCAGAUCAGCAGCUAAGGUGCCUAAAUAGUGCUCAGUGGAAAGGAGGUGGGAUUUCAUAGACAGUGAGGAUGUUGGCUUAGAAGCAGCCACCAUUUAAACAAAGCGUAACAGCUGACUCAUCGAGAGAUCCUGCGCCGAAAAUGAUUGGCGAUAAGCACUAUACCGAAGCUCUGGAUGCACAGUUUACUGUGCGUGGUAGAGGAGCGUUCUCAACACCUUGAAGCCUUAAGGCGACUGAUGGUGGAGCGUUGAGAAGUGAGUAUGUAGACAUGAGUAACGAUAAGCCGGGUUAAAUCCCCGGCCGCCGUAAACCCGAGGUUUCCUGGGCCAUGCUGGUCAUCCCAGGGUUAGUCGGGACCUAAGCCGAGGCCGAUGGGCGUAGGCGAUGGAAACACGGUUAAUAUUCCGUGACGGCCUAUAAUUUAAACUAGAAGGACGCAUGAGUGGAGAAACGACAGUGACUGAUAGUGCUGAACGAGGGAUUCGUCCCGGAUACUGUUUCGAAACGAGUGCCAAGAAAAGUUCUAGUGUAUAGAAUUAGGCCCCCGUACCGUAAACCGACACAGGUGGGUAGGUAGAAUAUACUAAGGCGCAAGAGUGAAACCCUGUUAAGGAACUCGGCAAAUUAGCCCCGUAACUUCGGGAGAAGGGGUCCCGGGACUUGUCCCGGGCGCAGUGAAAGGGCCCAUCCGACUGUUUAGCAAAAACACAGCAUUCUGCGAACACGCAAGUGGAAGUAUAGGAUGUGACACGUGACCAAUGCCAAAAGAUUAAGGGGAGGUGUUAGCCUUCGGGCGAAGCUCUGAUCCUAAGUCCUGGUGAAUGUCGGCCGUAACUAUAACGGUCCUAAGGUAGCGAAAUUCCUUGUCGGGUAAGUUCCGACCUGCACGAAUCGUGCAACGAGAUGGGCGCUGUCUCAACAGGGAGCUCAGUGAAAUUGUAUCCGCGGUGAAGAUGCCGCGUACCCGCAGAAGGACGGAAAGACCCUAUAGACCUUAACUGUACGCUGUCACUGUUUUCUCGAUUUUAAUGCUCAGCAUAAGUGGGAGGCUUUGAACCAUUCCUCUAGGGGAAUGGGGAGCCAUCAGUGAGAUACCACCCUUUAGCAUUGGGAAAUCUAACCUCUAGCCUUUAUCAGGCAGAGGAACCAUGGCAGCCGGUCAGUUUGACUGGGGCGGUCUCCUCCUAAAGAGUAACGGAGGAGCGCGAAGGUAGGCUCAGCGCGGUUGGCAAUCGCGUUUCGAGUGCAUUGGCAUAAGCCUGCCUAACUGCGAGACUUACAAGUCGAGCAGAGACGAAAGUCGGCCAAAGUGAUCCGGCGGUGGAAUAUGGAAUCGCCGUCGCUCAUCGGACAAAAGGUACCUUAGGGAUAACAGGCUGAUCGCGCCCAAGAGUUCAUA
rnacentral:rRNA from 1 species